UACGUAGGGUGCAAGCGUUGUCCGGAAUUAUUGGGCGUAAAGAGCUCGUAGGCGGUUUGUCGCGUCUGCUGUGAAAACUCGGGGCUUAACUCCGGGCCUGCAGUGGGUACGGGCAGACUAGAGUGCGGUAGGGGAGACUGGAAUUCUCGGUGUAGCGGUGAAAUGCGUAGAUAUCGAGAGGAACACCUGCGGCGAAGGCGGGUUGCUGGGCCGACACUGACGCUGAUGCGCGAAAGCCAGGGGAGCGAACGGG
rnacentral:rRNA from 1 species